rnacentral:rRNA from 1 species
UACGAAGGGGGCUAGCGUUGCUCGGAAUCACUGGGCGUAAAGGGCGCGUAGGCGGCGUUUUAAGUCGGGGGUGAAAGCCUGUGGCUCAACCACAGAAUGGCCUUCGAUACUGGGACGCUUGAGUAUGGUAGAGGUUGGUGGAAACUGCGAGUGUAGAGGUGAAAUUCGUAGAUAUUCGCAAGAACACCGGUGGCGAAGGCGGCCAACUGGACCAUUACUGACGCUGAGGCGCGAAAGCGUGGGGAGCAAACAGG